GUCUGUUUAGAGUGUCCUGGUAGUAUAGUCGCUUCGGGUGCGAGAGGUCCCGGGUUCGAUUCCCGGUGAGGCCC